rnacentral:rRNA from 1 species
UACGUAGGGUGCAAGCGUUAAUCGGAAUUACUGGGCAUAAAGCGUGCGCAGGCGGUUGUGCAAGACAGAUGUGAAAUCCCCGGGCUCAACCUGGGAACUGCAUUUGUGACUGCACGGCUGGAGUGCGGCAGAGGGGGAUGGAAUUCCGCGUGUAGCAGUGAAAUGCGUAGAUAUGCGGAGGAACACCGAUGGCGAAGGCAAUCCCCUGGGCCUGCACUGACGCUCAUGCACGAAAGCGUGGGGAGCAAACAGG